GACACCAUGGCCUAAUGGUUAGUGCGUUGGACUCCGGAUUGAGUGGCCCGGGUUUGAGCCUGGGUUAUUGUGUUG